CCUACGGGCGGCUGCAGUGGGGGAUAUUGGUCAAUGGGCGGAAGCCUGAACCAGCCAAGUCGCGUGAGGGAUUAAGGCCCUAUGGGUCGUAAACCUCUUUUGUCAGGGAGCAAGGUCGUCCACGUGUGGGCGUAUGGAGAGUACCUGAAGAACAAGCAUCGGCUAACUCCGUGCCAGCAGCCGCGGUAAUACGGAGGAUGCGAGCGUUAUCCGGAUUUAUUGGGUUUAAAGGGUGCGUAGGCGGGACCUUAAGUCAGCGGUAAAAUUGCGGUGCUCAACGCGGUAGGGCCGUUGAAACUGGGGAGCUUGAGUGAGCGAGAAGUAUGCGGAAUGCGUGGUGUAGCGGUGAAAUGCAUAGAGAUCACGCAGAACCCCGAUUGCGAAGGCAGCAUACCGGCGCUCAACUGACGCUGAGGCACGAAAGUGCGGGUAUCAAACAGGAUUAGAUACCCCAGUAGUC
rnacentral:rRNA from 1 species